AUCAUUUUGAAAAGGAAAGUUGGGCAAGCCCUCAAUACUAUCUAAAUAUAAAGCUUUGCAACCUAUCGAGCUUACACGAAAAAGUUGACUUGCU